ensembl:lncRNA
UGUGUGUGUGUGUGUGUGUGUGUGUGUGUGACCUCGUUUACAAACAGACCUCGUUUACAAACAGUUGAUCGUCAUUUCAACAGGUGUUAUUUCCAGGUCAUUGCAUCAUCAAGUUUUGUUGAUUGGAGGUAGGCUCUCACCCUGCAAGACAUACCGAUAAGAAAGUACUGCACCUCAUAACAACACAGCUCCACCGAAACAGCAUUGCGUCGGUUUAAAGAUAACUGGUAGGUGUUGUGUUAAUGACGUGGUGUCACCACCAGAGGGCGCAGGAGCCCGGAUUAGAAGAUCCAGUGGCUGAAAUACGGUGACAUUAAAGUCAAUGUACAAUAAUGCAGGAGUUUGAUGAUACUAGAAUCUGCUUCUAGAUACUAGAAUCUGACUGAACCAUGACAACACCUUCACCAUGACAACCCCAUUACCACGACAACACCAUCACCAAUACAACACCAUUACUAUGAAAACACCAUCACAAUUACAACAUCUUCACCGCUACAUCACCAUCAGCACUAUCAGACCAUCACCACUGCAACAUCACCAGUAAAACACCAUCACCUAUAACACAUCAUUCAUCACAACUAAAACACCAUCACCACAUCAACAACACCACACAACACCAUCAUCACAUCAACACCAUAACCACAUCUACACCAUCACCACAUCAACACCCUCACCAAUACAACACCAUCACCACAUCAACACCAUCACCACUACAACACCAUCACCACAACAACACCAUCACCACAUCAACACCAUCACCACUACAACACCAUCAGCAUGACAACACCAUCACCACUACAACACCAUCACCACAACAACACCAUCACCACUACAACACCAUCAGCAUGACAACACCAUCAACAACAUCAACGCAUCACCAUCAUCACCACUACAACACCUCCACCACUACAACACCAUCACCCCGUCAACACCGUCCCCAUGACAACAGUGUGUUGGUACCUGCCUGUGUCAGAUGGAGGAUGAGAGGGAGGAACGUGCCACUGUUGCAUAACAACCUGCUGCUCUACGUCUUGCUAGGUUAGCACUCCGCUAAACCCACACAAACCAGCUACACCCACCCACACCUCAAACCUAACCCCAACCUUUCAGGAGAGGCUUCAUGCUUAAUUCUCUUUUUU